CCUACGGGGGGCAGCAGUGGGGAAUAUUGGACAAUGGGCGAAAGCCUGAUCCAGCCAUGCCGCGUGUGUGAAGAAGGCCUUUUGGUUGUAAAGCACUUUAAGCGGGGAGGAGGGCUCUGUGGUUAAUACCCAUGGAAGUCGGACGUUACCCGCAGAAUAAGCACCGGCUAACUCUGUGCCAGCAGCCGCGGUAAUACAGAGGGUGCGAGCGUUAAUCGGAAUUACUGGGCGUAAAGCGCGCGUAGGCGGCUUGUUAAGUCGGAUGUGAAAUCCCUGGGCUCAACCUAGGCAUUGCAUACGAUACUGGCAAGCUAGAGUAUGGGAGAGGAAGGUAGAAUUCCAGGUGUAGCGGUGAAAUGCGUAGAGAUCUGGAGGAAUACCGAUGGCGAAGGCAGCCUUCUGGCCUAAUACUGACGCUGAGGUGCGAAAGCAUGGGGAGCAAACAGGAUUAGAUACCCUGGUAGUC
rnacentral:rRNA from 1 species